AUUUUUCAAUUUUGACUAACUUCGACCAAUCAGCGAAUCGCUCGGCCCACUUUUGUGAACCAAUCAGCGUCAAAAGUGGGCAGAGCGAUUCGCUGAUUGGUCGUUAUCAUUUUGAAAGGAAUUAAGC
rnacentral:precursor_RNA from 15 species